rnacentral:rRNA from 1 species
GACGAACGCUGGCGGCGCGCUUAACACAUGCAAGUCGAACGGAAAGGCCUGCUUUCCCAUGUGGAUUGCGGGUACUCGAGUGGCGAACGGGUGAGUAACACGGGGGAGAUCUGCGCCCAACUUGGGCAGAAGCCUGGAAAACUGGGUCUAAUUCCCGAUAGGACUGCAGGGUGGUGCCUGUGGUGGAAUUAGAUUUUUUAGUGGGUGGGGAUGAGCUCGCGGCCUAUCAGCUUGUUGGUGGGGGAAUGGCCUACUAAGGCGGCGACGGGUAGCCGGCCUGAGGGGGUGGACAGCGACGUUGGGACUGCGUAACCGCCCAGACUCCUACGCAAGGCAGCAGUCGGUAAUAUUGCACAAGGGGCGGAAUUCUGAUGCAGCGACGCCGAGUGGGUCAUGCCGGCCGUCGGGUUGUAUGCUUCUUUCGAGCUCGAGUAGGCCAUCUGGUUGGGAGGGUGGUGACGUUAGUGGUAGAAGAAGCACCGGCUAACUCCGUG